rnacentral:snoRNA from 1 species
AGACCCAGAACUCCAACCCUUGGUUUAUCCUUUCCGUGGUCUCUUAGGCCAAACUACAGCUGUUACAGCAACAACCAGGCUUGUUUAUAAGUGGGGCCCCUUGGCUAAACCACCAGGUGGCUCUUUUAAGAACUCACACCU